rnacentral:lncRNA from 1 species
UCUUCUUCUCCCUUCGUUCGUGGUUCUUCUUCUUCCUUAGUGGGUCCUGCUCCUCCGUUCCUGGUUCUUUUUCUUCGUGACUCCUGUUCCUUCGUUGUUGCUUCUUCUUUGUUCUCCUUCAAGGUAAGUAUUCUCCUUAUGAUUGUUUGUGCAUUGUUGCUCCUUCGUUCGUGUUGUUUGUGCUGGUAUUCUGAGCAUGACCAUUUUGGGUGAAAAAAAUCAUACAGAUUAGCAAUCCGUAUGGGUACGAAUCAACAAUCUGUAUGGGUCAUAUGGUCAUACGGAUUGUCAAUCCGUAUGGGUCGUAUGGAUUGUCAAUUCGUAUGAACCAUACAGAUUAUUGAUGAAACAGACGUUAAUGUUCAUCGUCCUGGACAUGCAAUGAUAAUAUAUUUUUUUUGGUAUUUUGUGUUUGUUGUUUUAUUUUUUAUUUUAUUAAUAGUUGUUAUGUUUUUUUUUUUUACUUGAUGGUUAUGUAGCAAUUGCUGAUAAGUUGGAGAGGCUAGUAAACCUGAGGAUCCUGACCGAAGGAACAAAAGUCUAUACUAUUGUUGAAGAAUGUCUGAGCAUCACAAGAAGCUACAUUAACCAACUAACUGUAGGUCACAGAUUGAGGCGUAGGCGGCAUACGGACGAUCAUUGAAGUUUUUUUUUUGCCUUAUAUAUGUCAAUUUUAAUUUUUUGAAUAAUUUUUUUAUUUGGCACAUUUAUGUAUUCACAGUGACAUUUGGUUAAUUUAUAAUUUUGGUGUGUAA